rnacentral:lncRNA from 1 species
UCCCUUUUUCCUUAUCAAGAAACUGUUCCCUUUGACCUCCUCUACUUGUCCUUAGCGCCGGGCUAUGCCUUCCUAUUAGAAGGAGUUCGGGCAGCUCUACUCGGAUAUUUAUCGGACGCAGGGCUUUCUUGCCCAACAGGUCCUCUCAUGUAUAGGAGUCAAAAAUGGAAUUACCAAAGUGGCACACAGCAGAUGCCAUUCGCAGCGCCCGUCCCGUCGCUCCAGGUUGUCCCGCGCGAGUUCGCACGUGGUUCAGGCGUUACCGGGGUUGGUCUCGGAGGUGGACCCGUGUAACAGUUCCCCAUGCCGCCGCCUUUGGCUCCUGCGCCGUUGCCGCUUGUUCCGUCGUCCUCUGUCGGUCCACCUCUGUCCCGUGGCUGCUGCCUGUCGUUGGAUUUCAUGUGAUAUCUUGUCGGUCUCGGGUCCCGCACGAUUCCUUCAACUCUAUUGGUGAGAAUCUCAAUAGUCAGGAGACGGUCACCCCAUUCCCAAGGAUGGGCAUGGCUUCAUCGUGAACGACCUCAAGGGCGGCUACUAAGGCAGUAAACUCCCCCUCAACCACCGCCGCCCUUCGCUACACCGAGUGGAUGCCGGCUUUUCUACUUUUGCCGGGCAGGAGACGACCUCCGUCCUCCCAACCUGCGCCAUGUGCCCGCGCUGGCAGGACCGUGCCAGUUGUAUAUUAUUUGAUAUAUUAAUUUUUUUGUGACAUUUUAACUGAUUUUCUAACACUGAUCACGUCAAUAACAUUGAAUGGUGCUUUAAGACGAAUAUUGACUACAAGAAAAUAUAGGGUUUUGGG